AUGGCACUGAAGACAAAGAAGGAAGCUCCUGUCCCUCCCAAAGCCAAAGCCAAAGCAAGGCCUUUGAGGGCCAAAAAGACAGUACUGAAAAGUGACCACAGGCACUCCCUCCCUCCCCCUUCCUCCCCCCGACCCCCACCCCCCGCCAGCCCACAAAUGUACAUGUCACCAACCUGGCAGCCCAAGACACUACAGCUCUGGAGGCAGCCCAAAUAUCCUUGGAAGGGCACCCACAGGAGAAAGAAAUAAGCGUGACCGCUAUGCCAUUAUUAAGUCCCUCCUGACCACUGGGUCAGCCAUGAAGAAGAUAGAAGACAACAACACACUUGUGGAUGUCAAAAUCAACAAGUACCAGAUCAAACAGGUUGUAAAGAAGCUCUAUGACACUGAUGUGGUCAACACCCUGAUCAGGCCUGAGGGAGAGAAGAAGGCAGAUGUUUGACUGGCUCCUGAUUAUGAUGCUCUGGAUGUUGCCAACAAAACUGGGAUUAUCUAAAGU
rnacentral:lncRNA from 10 species